ACUUAGUUGUCGAAGAUUUGUUUCUGCUUUUUUCAUCCCGUUCUUACCUCUCUUUUUGGUAUAUUUCCCUGACUCACAAUUAAUUCGCUCGAGUGAGAUAAAACGACGUAAAAUGAGUGAAUGCUCGGCGAGAAAAGAAGAGAGGAGAGGAG
rnacentral:ribozyme from 11 species